rnacentral:lncRNA from 1 species
AUUGAGCGCUUCAGGGUUUCUUUCGGUAUUGAUCUGAGAAGCUUUAGUUCUGUUGAUGAAUGGAUUUGUUUUGCCAUGAAAAAGGGAGUUCAAAUUCUUGAGUUGGAAUUCUUAGAUUAUGAUUCUUGCUGCUAUAAAUUAGUGCCCUAUAUACUUUGCCAAAAUGUUUUAGGUAUCAGAAAAGGUUCUGGUUUGAAUCCCUUGUCAUCUAAUAUAACAAGUAAACACCUUGAUUAUGUUGGAUAUACGUCCCUAAAAAUUCUUGAUCUGAAGUCGGUUGACGUGACCGGAAAUGUUCUAGAGGACAUUUUGUCCAACUGUCCCGCUCUUGAGCGGCUUUCCGUGUCUAAUUCCUCGAAGUUGUGAAGGUAUAAGGAUAGUUGGCAAUCCUUUUAUCCUGCAAAACACUUUGAGAUAAUGUUAUCUGAUCAAGAACAAGUGGCGCUAAUAUCCCUUAUGGUUUCAAGUAAAACAUGCAUCUGCAUAUCACUGUUUUUCACAGAGGUUAGCAGCUUCGCCUGCUAUCCUAGUACUGAGUCUUCUGCUGUCCUGAGUUUCAAAGUCUGUUAUAUUAGUUUAAUAAGUCUUUCAAAUUCAAAUGGACAACUGAGUUUGUGGGAAGUGCCUUAGCGCUCAAACCAGUCAAAGGGUUGAGAUCUUUUGUUAUGCCAACCCGUGACCAAAUGGUUUGAUGCUCAAGGCUCCAGCUGGGAUUUCAUGAUACGUUAUCCUAUGUAUAGCUGGUCCCUGUAUGGUUCAAAGACUAGUUACUAUUAGCUGUGUCAAGGUCCACUAAUGGACUGAGUAAGAGGGUUUCAAAUCUCUUUGCUCCCUGUUUUGAAUCGUUCAUGUUUUAGGAAAGGUGUCUUUGUCUUAUUGAGGUUGCUUGUGUCAACUCUCCAUCUGGUUACAUCACUUUCAGUAUGGGGAACCAAACACUUCUGUCCAAACCUUUCUGAAACAUGUUGAGGUCAGCCUGCAUCAUCUUUGAUGCCUUGUCUGCCUAUAUAUAUCUAUAGCUUUGGUUUUGCUCAGUGGUUGUGGAAAACUGUCUUAUUGCGUUUUCUUUGUUGAGUCUAGUUUUUAGCUUGCAUUGUUCAUGCUGCUCUAAGUCUUCUUCGUGACUGUAAACCUUAGAGCUUGAACUCAAAACUUCUUUCAUCAACUCAUAUCAUGUUGCAUACCAUGAGGGAUGUGUAGUGCAACCAACCCAAGAAGCGUUCAAGGUUGAAUCUGCUAGUGGUUAGCUGAAUUCACGAACAAAGCUUCGAAAAGUAUCCUAUGUUGUAAGAACUUAGAAACAAGAGAGGGAAUAGGUCUAGACUAGUUCGGGACUAGGAAGGAUAGCACUGUGGUAGUGUAUCACUAGAACUAUUAUUCUUGUAAGAAGUUACUUCAACUUAGUGGAAGUUUUUGUCUCUCAAGAGUUAGAGACACGCAGUUUUUCUCCCUGCAUUUAGGGUUUAUGCGAGUAAAAAACAUCCUUGUGUUGUUUCUUUAUUUGCUGCAAUUUACUUUCUGCAAACUCGUAUCCUGUGAUUCUGGGAUAGCACAAGUCAUUGCUAUCCUCGGAUACAAAAGACAACGAAAAUUUCAAAAAUGCAUAUUCCACCCCCCCCCCCCCCCCCCCCCACGGACCUUUAAGUUGCUAAAUCUAAGAGUCAUGAGUCCAUCAACUGCAUUCAAGUACUUGGUCAUACAGCGA